UACGUAGGGUGCAAGCGUUGUCCGGAAUUAUUGGGCGUAAAGAGCUCGUAGGCGGCGCGGAUAGUCGGCGGUGAAAGCCCGGAGCUCAACUCCGGGUCGGCCGUCGAUACUUCCGGGCUUGAGCACUGUAGAGGCAGAUGGAAUUCCGGGUGUAGCGGUGGAAUGCGUAGAGAUCCGGAAGAACACCGGUGGCGAAGGCGGUCUGCUGGGCAGUUGCUGACGCUGAUGCGCGACAGCGUGGGGAGCAAACGAGGAUUAGAAACC
rnacentral:rRNA from 1 species